GAUUCCCAGUGGUUCAAUGUCCCUUUCAUGGUUUAAAUGGUCAACACCAAAUUGGAAAAUAACUACCAUACAAUCUACUUCUUCCUAUCAAUCCGGCGAUAAUAAACAUCCCUUGGCUACCCUUAAAGGUCUAGCCUUCUACUUAUGUACAUUCUAGAAAUUACAUCACAUCUUUACACCCAUUCUUACAUUCAUUUCAUCAACCUUUAAUCAUUAAGGAAGGACAAUUAUGCAUCAUGUACCCUCUUACAUAAUUAUGGAAAUAUUUUUUUCUCCUUUUGUCAUUUUCUCACUCUCACUUUACCUUCCUUUCUUACAUCUUAUUUUCAUAAUAAUAAACUAGGCACCCUUUGCCCUGCC
rnacentral:lncRNA from 1 species